GUGUGUUGAUGGCAUUUAAACACCAGGGACAGGUAUGUUUACCUGUGUGUGUGGAUGGUGUUUAUCACUAGGGACAGGUGUGUUUGCCU
rnacentral:pre_miRNA from 1 species